UAGGGAAUCUUCCACAAUGGGCGAAAGCCUGAUGGAGCAACGCCGCGUGUGUGAUGAAGGCUUUCGGCUCGUAAAACUCUGUUGUUAAAGAAGAACAUAUCUGAGAGUAACUGUUCAGGUAUUGACGGUAUUUAACCAGAAAGCCACGGCUAACUACGUGCCAG
rnacentral:rRNA from 1 species